GGAAGGGGAUUAGGGUAUGGGGACUAAUAUACCGUUCAAAAUGGGUUCACAAUCGAGAGUUGAUUGUGGUUUAAUUUUGGAACAGAUUGCAGAGGAGGAGCGGUUAUUGAGCGUGGGAGAGGGAACGUAAAAUAGAUCAAAGGGAUGGAAAGGAAGAGAAACCGCGUAAGGGAGGAGAGAGAAUCUCUGCAACAUAUUAAUUUAAUUUGUAACUAAGGAAAGUCUUGGUGACCAAGACUAGGAGUACGAGAUUAAAUUUAAAAUUGAUUUGGGCUAUAAGUAUCGGUAUUUUAUUAAAUUGUGUAGCCCACACUUUAUUUAUCACCGGACUGGAUUUUUUGUAUAAUUUAUUUAAUUUAUCGGAUCCAACACGGAAUCGAGUCCAAUAAAUAUUCCUCACGGACAUGAAUUGUUUAAAUUCGCAUUGUGAUUUACUUCACAAUUUCUAAUCCUAAUAAUAGAUUAUCAAUUAUUCACAAACAUUUAAUUUCACCCCU